rnacentral:lncRNA from 1 species
UUUGGCACAACACCUCUCCAUGAAAUGGUUAGGUUUAUGCGUGCUGCUCACACACCUGAAGGCUUUACCUCCACCUGACUUGAACGCCCAUCUUCCCGCAAAGAAGUCUGCACUCAGGUCCUUCUUUACGUUGUUGCGGCCUAAUGGUCCGCUUGGUUCUAGCCUGGUUCUUGUCUAGCAUAGCACUCUCUGCAACUGCAAGCUCUGCUUGCCCAUGCCGUAGGCUUCACUGCCCACUCAUCCUGCAUGGCUCUCUUCUGUAGGGACUCUCCUGCCACUCCUCGCAACCCAUUGGAUGGCUAGGUUUAGGGGCUCUCCUGCUACUCUUCGCAGCCCAUUAGGUGGCUAGGUUGUCGUUCCAACCUUGAGUCCGACUUUCUUUAGACGGACCCCUUCACAUGCCNNNNN